rnacentral:rRNA from 1 species
GAUGAACGCUAGCGACAGGCUUAACACAUGCAAGUCGAGGGGCAGCAGGGAGUAGCAAUACUCCGCUGGCGACCGGCGCACGGGUGCGUAACGCGUAUGCAACCUACCUAUUAGAGUGGAAUAACCCGGCGAAAGUCGGACUAAUACCGCAUAAAGCAGGGGCUCCGCAUGGAGAUAUUUGCUAAAGGAGUGAUCCGCUAAUAGAUGGGCAUGCGUUCCAUUAGAUAGUUGGUGAGGUAACGGCUCACCAAGUCUUCGAUGGAUAGGGGUUCUGAGAGGAAGGUCCCCCACACUGGAACUGAGACACGGUCCAGACUCCUACGGGAGGCAGCAGUGAGGAAUAUUGGUCAAUGGGCGAGAGCCUGAACCAGCCAAGUCGCGUGAAGGAUGACUGCCCUAUGGGUUGUAAACUUCUUUUAUGAGGGAAUAACGGGUUGUACGUGUACGACAGAGGAAUGUACCUUAUGAAUAAGCAUCGGCUAACUCCGUGCCAGCAGCCGCAGUAAAAC